rnacentral:rRNA from 1 species
AUUGAACGCUGGCGGAAUGCUUUACACAUGCAAGUCGAACGGCAGCACGGGUGCUUGCACCUGGUGGCGAGUGGCGAACGGGUGAGUAACAUAUCGGAACGUAUCCAAUAGUGGGGGAUAACUAAUCGAAAGGUUGGCUAAUACCGCAUACGCCCUACGGGGGAAAGCUAGGGACCUUCGGGCCUGGCGUUAAUGGAGCGGCCGAUAUCUGAUUAGCUAGUUGGUGGGGUAAGAGCCCACCAAGGCGACGAUCAGUAGCUGGUCUGAGAGGACGACCAGCCACACUGGAACUGAGACACGGUCCAGACUCCUACGGGAGGCAGCAGUGGGGAAUUUUGGACAAUGGGCGCAAGCCUGAUCCAGCCAUUCCGCGUGAGUGAAGAGGGCCUUCGGGUUGUAAAGCUCUUUCGCAAGGGAAGAAAACUUAUCCUCUAACAUAGGGUGAGGUUGACGGUACCUUGAUAAGAAGCACCGGCUAACUACGUGCCAGCCGCCGCCGUAACAC